rnacentral:lncRNA from 1 species
UGCCUUAUAACUAUAACUAAAUAGUUUUGUAAAUAUUGAAAUUUUACCAAUCUCUCUUGUUAAUAUGUAUCCACAUAUUGGAGAUUUAUCAUAUAUAUAUAUAUGAUAUUAUAUUACUAUUGAUGUAUCUAUACCAGUGCCUGUAUCAAAAAUUACCAUAUUACCUAUGUCUUAUAUUUAUAUUUAUAGCUCAGCCUGCUACGAAGGUUUAACCACACACCCCAGGUGUAACAAUAUUUUCUCAAUGUAAAUCCAGGAAAUAACACUGUAAUUGCAGUUCAUCUUUUAUUAUUGUGUUCUAUUGAUACCGAAAUGAUAGCUAGGUAAUACCAAUUAAUAACUUAUUUUUUCAUAAAUCCAAAUUUCAUCUACAUUAAAUUC